AUGGAGUCACACAGAGGGACCGGAGCCCAGUCAGUGACCCAGCCUGACGUCCACAUCACUGUCUCUGAGGGAGCCCCUCUGGAGCUGAGGUGCAGGUAUUCAUCUUCUCUUCCACCGUAUCUCUUCUGGUACGUGCAAUAUCCCAACCAAGGACUCCAGCUUCUCCUGAAGUACACAUCUGGAAACAGCCGUGUUUCAGUCAUCAAAGGUUUUGAAGCUGAAUUAAACAGGAGUGACACCUCCUUCCACCUGAGGAAAUCUUCAGGCCAUUGGAGCGACUCGGCCAAGUACUUCUGUGCUGUGAGUGACACAGUGCCUGCGACUGCAGGGGGAGCUGAACACAAACCUCCUGAGACGCUGUAG